UACGAAGGGUGCUAGCGUUGCUCGGAAUCACUGGGCGUAAAGCGCACGUAGGCGGAUUGCUAAGUCAGGGGUGAAAUCCUGGAGCUCAACUCCAGAACUGCCCUUGAUACUGGCGGUCUCGAGUCCGGGAGAGGAGAGUGGAAUUCCUGGUGUAGCGGUGAAAUGCGCAGAUAUCAGGAGGAACACCGGUGGCGAAGGCGGUUCUCUGGGCCUGUACUGACGCUGAGGAGCGAAAGCGUGGGGAGCGAACAGG
rnacentral:rRNA from 1 species